GUGCUCGCUUCAACAGCACAUACGCUAAAAUUGGAACGAUACAGAGAAGAUUAGCAUGGCCCCGGUGCAAGGAUGACAUGCAAAUUCCUGAAGCGUUUCAUAUUUUU
rnacentral:snRNA from 1 species